rnacentral:piRNA from 1 species
CUAACCAAGGAGAGAGGAAACUG